rnacentral:rRNA from 1 species
UAACCCAGUAGAUGAACAAACAGGGCAUUGCCCUAGUAACGGCGAGUGAGCGGCAACAGCUCAAAUUUGAAAUCUGGCUCUUUCAGAGUCCGAGUUGUAAUUUGCAGAGGGCGCUUUGGCUUUGGCAGCGGUCCAAGUUCCUUGGAACAGGACGUCACAGAGGGUGAGAAUCCCGUACGUGGUCGCUAGCUAUUGCCGUGUAAAGCCCCUUCGACGAGUCGAGUUGUUUGGGAAUGCAGCUCUAAAUGGGAGGUAAAUUUCUUCUAAAGCUAAAUAUUGGCCAGAGACCGAUAGCGCACAAGUAGAGUGAUCGAAAGAUGAAAAGCACUUUGGAAAGAGAGUCAAACAGCACGUGAAAUUGUUGAAAGGGAAGCGCUUGCAGCCAGACUUGCUUGCAGUUGCUCAUCCGGGCUUUUGCCCGGUGCACUCUUCUGUAGGCAGGCCAGCAUCAGUUUGGGCGGUGGGAUAAAGGUCUCUGUCACGUACCUCUCUUCGGGGAGGCCUUAUAGGGGAGACGACAUACCACCAGCCUAGACUGAGGUCCGCGCAUCUGCUAGGAUGCUGGCGUAAUGGCUGUAAGCGGCCCGUCUUGAAACACGGACCAAGGAGUCUAACAUCUAUGCGAGUGUUUGGGUGUCAAGCCCGAGCGCGUAAUGAAAGUGAACGGAGGUGGGAACCCGCAAGGGUGCACCAUCGACCGAUCCUGAAGUUUACGGAAGGAUUUGAGUAAGAGCAUGGCUGUUGGGACCCGAAAGAUGGUGAACUAUGCUUGAAUAGGGUGAAGCCAGAGGAAACUCUGGUGGAGGCUCGCAGCGGUUCUGACGUGCAAAUCGAUCGUCAAAUUUGGGGCAUAGCGGCGAAAGACUAAUCGAACUAUCUAGUAGCUGGUUCCUGCCGAAAGUUUCCCUCAGGAAA